UACAUAUUCAUUUAAAGAGUUCUCCACCGGCAACAUAUUUCAUGACAAUGGCAAGGUGUGUCAGGGUUAAAUAAACCUGUUCAUGAUUGAUACAGAAAAUAAGACCAUAUAGUAAGUCCAUUCAAUUUUAUCUAAGGACAAUGAUUUGCUAAGUUGGAGAGAGAGAGAGAGAGAGAGAGAGAGAGAGAGAUUGUAGGACAAACUUCUAUGUUUCUGGAGUCAUUAUCACCAACCAUAUUACUGCUAACUUUUGAUAGAAAAAAAUCAUUAGUGAUAACUGGGUACAUGCAGUCAUGAACUCAAUGCAAACAUUAACAUCGUACUGUCAUUUGUUUUUGAAAGUAGUUCAUAGUUCACACUUCAUAAAACCUCUAAGAAACGAAUUGUAUGAUGAUAGGGUGCUCGAGCUGACACAUGAUUGAUAAAUGAUAUCUCCAUCUGCACAUUCUCAUCAAUCUACACGCACACACACAAACCCAAAAAAUCAUCUAUCAAGCAACAGAAACCUAUAGCAAUCGUCUCCACACUCCCAUCAAGGAUUAAUUCGUCACCAAAGAACCAAAUCCACCAGCCACCUGCAGGAUGAACCCCCAACGACCAAACAACAAAACUAUGCAGACAGGAAAGGAUCCAAAACCAAGGUGCAUAUUCUUACUUACUUAAUGGUGAUGAGCUCGAUGGAGAACUUGUCCCUGAUCAUGUCUCAUGCAUCCGCGUCCGGCCGCUGGCGUCUGCGUCCGCGUCCGCGGUUGUCAGUCAGGCCUUGGUGUCAUCUAUACACAUGCUAAACCCCUUUGUUAGGUGUCGUGGCUCGUCACUCCCGUCCCAUGUUGCCGCCGAGGCCUGCCGCUGCACAAUCGCCCUCCAUGAGGAUAGGAUUCAAGGGUCCCGUCAGAUUCGUCGUUGGCCGUGGGAUUGUCAGUCCUCCUCCGCUCCUUGCCAUGCCCAUCGCCGAGAUGGAACUCUACCACAAGAGCCCAUCGUCAGCGACGUCGGGAUGGUGUGGGGAGAGUGGUCGCCCGGGUACUCAUGGGAGAGGGGCCGCCGGAUGGUGAGGUCGGAGAGAUCGUGGACGGCUCGGGAUGUGUACUUUUUCAUAGCGAUUUUGUCGGCACAUCACAAGAUUUCACGAGGUCGAUCGAGGGGAGGUCGAACGACGAGGGAGGAGGUGGAGAACGUGUUUUUUUGCUCGACUGGAACUGGAACACGCGCAGGGGCAUAUUUUUUCCAGCGAUUAUUUCUUUGCGAGGGUCGUACGAAGGGGAGGUCGAACCAUUUAAUAGUAGAGAUGCUCCGUUUAU
rnacentral:lncRNA from 1 species